rnacentral:sRNA from 1 species
ACUAUAAAAGAUAUUGAAACCAAUAUCAUUACCUGAUAAAGGGGAUUUAAAAAAAAAUUUCAUCCCUUUUUGCUAGACAUCCAGAUUGACGUUAAUAUACAUGUAUACGGGACAUGUUUAUGUCAUGUUGAAAUGUACCAUAGGUGGGGGCAUUCAAGUCCUAUGGACAUAACUUAUGGUUUGUAAUUUUUUUCUCUUGAGUAGAGUUUAAGUCAAAGGUUUGGAGAGAAGAUAGUUUUUAAUUUGAUUUUGUGGGGAAAAAACCAAAAGUAAAAUUAUUGUAGUAACAUAGUUGUAGUAACAUUGAAUAGGAAUUGCAUGCUUAUUUUAGUGUUUUUAUGUACAGUCAUUAUCUGCAUACUCAUUACUAGUCAUAUUUUGUGAUGAUAUUAUAUUGUGUUGUAGAACUUGGUGUCAGCUGAUUUUAUGGUGUAGAAGUAGCAUGGAGGGCACAAAUUGAUUCACAUGAAUUUAUUUGUGUGUUUGUAUGAUAUGUUUUACUAGAUUUUAUUAGUGACAUAGAAACAUCUUAGUGCUGAAGCUUUUAUAGUAUGGUUGUGCCUUUCUGAAGUAACCAAUUUGAACAUUUGCAUUUAUGUUCCAAAGACUAGACUGUAAACCUAUGUGUAAGACGAUAAAAGUAUUUCAACUCAGAUUCUCAUUUCAGUUCGUAUAUACGUAGUUGUGAGCUUAUGAACAAAGAAUCACCACAUAGGAACAAAAUAAAAUGUUUUCU